CCUACGGGUGGCAGCAGUGGGGAAUAUUGCACAAUGGGGGAAACCCUGAUGCAGCGACGCCGCGUGAGUGAAGAAGUAUUUCGGUAUGUAAAGCUCUAUCAGCAGGGAAGAAACCCACCCUCCGGGGUGGCUGACGGUACCUGACUAAGAAGCCCCGGCUAACUACGUGCCAGCAGCCGCGGUAAUACGUAGGGGGCAAGCGUUAUCCGGAUUUACUGGGUGUAAAGGGAGCGUAGGUGGCAAGGCAAGUCAGCGGUAAAAUUGCGGGGCUCAACCCCGUCGAGCCGUUGAAACUGGCAGACUUGAGUUGGCGAGAAGUACGCGGAAUGCGCGGUGUAGCGGUGAAAUGCAUAGAUAUCGCGCAGAACGCCGAUUGCGAAGGCAGCGUACCGGCGCCAGACUGACGCUGAGGCACGAAAGCGUGGGGAUCGAACAGGAUUAGAUACCCUGGUAGUC
rnacentral:rRNA from 1 species